UAAUGCUCAUCCUCAAAGCUCAGCUCAAAUGUCGCUUUCUCUUGCCAGGGGUAGCAAGCUAAAAUAGAGGGUGCCCAGCUCAAAUGCAGAUAAACAACGAGUAACCGUUUUCAUGUUUUCUCCUCACCUGCUGCUGGCCAGGACAUUCCAGCACUCUCUGUGCACCUGUCCCCACACAUCCUCCACCCCAUCUGCAUUCUUACCACUGUUACCCUCACCUGCCACGGGGCCAGGAUGUGAAGGUGCACGGGUUGUCAUACAUGAGUCAGUGGGCACUUUCCCUUUAUUUCCCCAACUGCCUGUUUGUUUUCAGGGAUGACUUGGCGGUAUUUGGUGUUAAUUUCAUUCAGGAUGUGAUGAGACUAAAGUUAACUGUUGCAUGGGAUCGCAGUAACAGUUCUGUUAAGAAAGAUGUGUCCCAAGAAGACACUCCGGGUUCAGACAUUUCAUUACCUGAUGGAAAAAAGCCCCAGAGCCUGUGGCUGAAACCCUUCCCCCCUGCCAUUGUGCUCUGAGGUGGACAGUGUGAUGUCUUGGGCUCCCUCCUCCCUGUGAUUCUGGGGUCAGAUAGCAAAUCAGCCUCCACCCAAGUAGGACUUCCCAUGUGAAGGGGGGGGGGGGUGGUGCUUUCUGUUUUUGAGACCUAAAUAGGUUCAGGAAAUUCUGAUUUUCCACCUUUACCUUGAGAGUGGAUUGACUCUUCAAAAAGUUCUCUUAAACCUUUGCUUCACUCAGCUCUGGCCACACAAGAGAAAAUCAGUGUGGGCUGAUUUCACGAGCACAAGCAACACGAGACUCUUGGAGCCUGGUGACGGGACUCCUAAUCCAGUGCGCCCACACGGUUCCUGGCCGCCAAGAAUUCAGAACCUGGAGCCCCACAAAAGCAGUAUGUCCUCUGAAGACCACUGCAAGGGGGAAGCAAUCCCUCCAGACCACCGAGCAGCCAAAGCACUUGUGGUUCAAAACAACUCGAGCCCGGUGAGGAUUUUCAAGCAUCUCAUCCAAUUAGCCAUCCUGGGAGCACACUUUGGAGAAAUGACUCUGAAAAGGGAGCAGAAGCAAGCAAGAAUUUACAAUCUUUGCAUUCCCUUUGUAAGUCACUAACUUCGUACCAGAAUGUGGCUCACAGAAAGCGAGGCUGGCCUCAGCACUGCCCUGGCAAAAGGACUCUAAACACUGGAGCCCACAGUGGGGCCCGGAGACACCAUGGAAUCUCAGCGCAGGGGAUCGGUGAGUGUCAGGAAGGAAAGGGCAUUUCGGGCAAAGCCUGGCACUGCUCGGAAUGCUGUCUGUUGGAAAACCUAAGCUGGCAGACACUUAGCAUGAGUGUUAAGAGUGUCAGUUUUGUUUGGGGUUUAAAACACCACACAAGGCUACCUUUCAACAGUCACAAGGCCACCUAUGACAUAACAUGGGGUGUGUGUCAUCUGAG